AGCAGUCGCCGCGGUAAUACGGAGGGUGCAAGCGUUAAUCGGAAUUACUGGGCGUAAAGCGCACGCAGGCGGUCUGACAAGUCAGAUGUGAAAUCCCCGGGCUUAACCUGGGAACUGCAUUUGAAACUGUCAGGCUGGAGUCUUGUAGAGGGGGGUAGAAUUCCAGGUGUAGCGGUGAAAUGCGUAGAGAUGUGGAGGAAUACCGAUGGCGAAGGCAGCCCCCUGGGCCAAUACUGACGCUCAUGCACGAAAGCGUGGGGAGCAAACAGGAUUAGAUACCCCUGUAGUCCCUGUCUCUUAUAC
rnacentral:rRNA from 1 species